UUUACAGCAGAGCAGAAGGUGCAAAGGUUAUACGGAGCAGUACAUUUGAAGAACUUUCUCCUAUGCAAGCUUACGAGUGGAACACAGAAGGAGAUGCGGUUUAUUUUACCAGUCCGAGAGAUACAGAUUAUUUGAGAACACAGAACAGGGGAAGUAUCACGACCAUCACCCAACUGACCCAUCAGUUAUUACGGAACCGACUGCUGCUGGCUACAGAUUCCUGGUUGGUUCAAUGACCAGAAGAUGGGAAUACAAGUCAGUGUAAAUGAAGAAACACUAUGGAGAAUAUCCGGAUACAGAA